GCAGAGGCGACGCUGGCAGCCGUCUCUUAGGAGAUUUCUCCGCAGUGUGGACGGGGGUCAGGAUUUGCAGGCGAGCAAGGGCAGAGAGGAGAAAUCGUACAGGUCGGUGACGCGCCUAAUUCACAAAGCCUGAAAGUGCUGUCAACUUUGGGGUCAUCUUAUGCUGGGCACCGCCUCUCCAAUUAUCUGCAAAAAGUGAUAGCAGUCGCGCUUUUCUUUAGGAGGCGAUGUGAUGUGUAAUGGUGGAAAAGACGUUCAAUGAAAAGGCACGGAGGCCUGCAGGACAGGCUGUUGGGGUCCAGGGUUUCUUGAGUGUUGGAUUUGGAUGCUUGGGACACUGCAGGGGCUUCAGUCUUGCAGGGUGACCUUUCAUUUCAUGGGUGAUGAAAGUGAGACCCAAAACCCCGUGUCAUUUUGAAUCACUGACAGGCUUCGGCUUUUGGCCUCGGGAUGUCCAGCCCAGUGCUCCUUCCUGUCCUAUCUGGAAAGCAAGAUCCCCUUGACCACAAGAAAUAGAAUCAGGCUUGUUGGGGAUGAGAGACUAGAAUCUGGGCCAAAGAAUGGAAGACGGUGGUAAGACAAAUUGGUAGUGAGGGAACCCCUUUUACCCAACCCUGUGACCACCAGCAAAGCUGCCAAGAGGUACCCAACUCGUGAAGCUC
rnacentral:lncRNA from 1 species